rnacentral:rRNA from 1 species
UACAGAGGAGCCAAGCGUUGUCCGGAUUGACUGGGCGUAAAGCGCACGCAGGCGGUCGCGCGCGUGGGGUGUGAAAUCUGGCCGCUUAACGGCCAGGCGCCAUCCCAUACGGCGCGACUGGAGUGAUGCAGAGGUCGGUGGAAUUGCCGGUGUAGAGGUGAAAUUCGUAGAUAUCGGGAGGAACACCUGUGGCGAAGGCGGCCGACUGGACGAUCACUGACACUGAGACGCGAAAGCGUGGGUAGCAAACAGG